rnacentral:ncRNA from 1 species
GUCCCUUGUAAUCUCCCGGAUUGGCGGGGGAGAAUCCACCAGCUGGCCUUAACCAGCCGUAACCAGGGGAA